ensembl:lncRNA
UCCAUCAGUGUGGACGUCCCCUCUGGUGCUCUCUGCCCGCGUACAUACAACCCCUCUUCCUUUCAGUCUGCACUUGCAUCUCUGGGCUUCGUAUCUCAAGCAUCCUAAGCUCUGAGGACCACCAAGUUGGCAAUUCACUCUUGAACCAUUAACCAGCAAUUCCACACAAACCAUCAUUCAGGUGCCUUGUCGCCUACAUCCAUUUGCUCGCUGUCUGCCUGGUCCUGGGUCCUUUUCCUCCAAGUCUGACAGUCUGGACUCUGAUGCUCCCUCAGCCCCGGGGGCUCAUCUGCUCACCCUUCUCCACUGGGACACUGCCUCGAGCAGCCCAUCCUGUGCUGGCCUCUUCCCACCUCUCCCACUUCCUCACUCGCCUGACCUGUGAUGUGCUCUUCCUCCUGCAGGGGCUUCCUCAUGCCCUUUGCCCACUCCUAGGGGUAGGUUCUCCGCACCCACUGUCUCCUAGCUCCCUGCCGUCCCUCUGGGCACAGUGUGUUCCUGGAUCCUCUCAACAAGCCUCCUCUCCUCUCCUGGCUCCCGGGCGCCGUCUCCCGCGUUCCUCACUCUCUGGCCUAUCAGGACAGAGGUGGUCCUCUCCUCCACCACCCUCUCUCAGUUGUCCGAGGUAGCUCACCUUACCUCCCACAUCCUGGGCCCGGUUUCUAGGUCUCUCCUGGUUUCUCCAGGGCACGCACAGCAACACUUCCGCUACUCUCUGUGACCCCUCCAGCCAGCCUCAGUUGUCUCCUCUGCCUUGUGCCCUUUCAGUCUCCCAUCCGCUGCUCAAGCCAGUUCAGCCGUCUCUGCCUCAGACACAUUGUCACACACUCUCCGUCCACAUGUCCAGCCUCCAAAGCUCCUAUCUCCCAGCUCCCCCAGUGUAAACUUUCCUGUUCCAUUCAGAUCGUUUCACACUCCUCUGACACAUUCGUGGGGAAACCUUCCUGACUCUCUGCCUUCAUCCUUCACCACAAUACUGAUAACUUUAGCUCGCCCUGGGCUUGCCACCCCUCCCUACCCCAGCCUCCCUCUGCACAGAGCCUGGCCCUGAUGCCGCCCUCCUCCUCCCCUCCCUACUAGCAGCCACCUAUCCCCAGACGCCUCUCCAGAACUGACGUCUCCCACUCACUCUCGGCCUUUCCAUCAGUGGGACGUCCCCUCUGGUGCUCUCUGCCCGUUUACAUACAACCCCUCUUCCUUUCAGUCAGCACUUGCAUCUCUGGGCUUUCAUAUCUCAAGCAUCCUGAGCUCUGGGACCCACCAAGUUGGCAAUUCACUCUUAACCAUUACAGCAAUUCCAACACAACCAUCAUUCAGGUGCCUUGUCGCCUACAUCCAUUUGCUCGCUGUUGCUGGUCCUGGGUCCUUUCCUCCAAGUCUGACAGGCUGGACUCUGAUGCUCCCUCAGCCGGGGGCUCAAUGUCACCCUUUCCACUGCGCCACUGCCUCUAGCAGCCCAUCCUGCGCUGGCCUCUUCCCACCUCUCCCACGUCCUCACUCGCCGGACCUAUGCUGUGCUCUCCUCCUGCAGGGGCUUCCUCAUGCCCUUUGCCCACUCCCUGGGGGCAGGUUCUCCACACCCACUCUCUCCUAGCUCCCUGCCGUCCCUCUGGGCACAGUGUGUUCCCG